UACAUUACAAUAUUAUUAACAAGCCAUCAUAAGAUAUUUUCUAACCCUAACAAGACCCUAUAUCAAAAACCUUGUUCACCUGCCUACGGAGUGCCUCUCAAAGAAUGAUUAAAAUCUGAAAAAGGAACUAGGCAAAUUCAAGGCCCGACUGUUUACCAAAAACAUAGCCUUUAGCAAACCAAGUAUUAAAGGUGAAGCCUGCCCAGUGACAGCACGUUCAAUGGCCACGGUAUCCUAACCGUGCAAAGGUAGUGCAAUCAAUUGUCCCAUAAACUGAGACCUGUAUGAAUGGUUCAACAAGGUCUUAGCUGUCUCCUACAGAUAAUCAGUGAAAUUGAUCUUCCUGUGCAAAAGCAAGAAUAACUUCAUAGGACAAGAAGACCCUGUGGAACUUUAAAAUCUGCAACCACUCCCAUAAACAACUCUCCUCCACAGGACCUACUCCCCUGGGAUAUCGCUGGCAUGCAUUUUUUGGUUGGGGCGAACUUGGAGAUAAACCUAACCUCCAAAAACCAGACGACUCAUCAUGACCAAGAACAACUCAACAACGUACUAACAGUAACCAGACCCAAUAUAAUUGAUUAAUGAACCUAGUUACCCCAGGGAUAACAGCGCAAUCUCCUUCAAGAGCCCCCAUCGACAAGGAGGUUUACGACCUCGAUAUUGGAUCAGGACAUCCUGGUGGUACAACCGCUACCAAGGGUUCGUUUGUUCAACGAUUAACAGUCCUACGUGAUCUGAGCUCAGACUGGAGUAAUCCAGGUCGGUUUCUAUCUCUGCUAUAACUCCUUCUAGUACGAAAGGACCGAAGAAGUAAGGCCUAUACCACAAGCACGCCUUCGCCCCCAGUAAUGAACCCAACUAAAUUACUAAGGGUUCCAUCAUAUCCCCUCCUCCUAGAAAAGGACCGCUACCGUGGCAGAGCUUGACAAAUGCAAAAGGCUUAAGCCCUUUACCCAGAGGUUCAAAUCCUCUCCCUAGUUCCACAUAAAACACAUGACAAUUCACCCAGCCCUGACCUACCUCAUUAUAUCAUUAUCCUAUGCUCUAUCCAUCCUCAUCCCCGUAACAUUUCUCACCCUAGUCAAACGUAAAGUUUUAAGCUACAUACAAGCCUGAAAGGGACCUAACAUUUUAGGACCAUGUGGUCUCUUGCAACCGUAGCAGAUGGAGUAAAAUUAAUUAUCAAAGAGCCAAUCCGUCCAUCAACCUCAUCCCCCUACUUAUUUAUGACCACUCCUAUCUUAGCUCUCCUCCUAGCAAUCACAAUCUGAACACCGCUCCCACUACCCUUUCCCCUCACCGACCUAAACCUCGGCAUACUCUUUCUCGUAGCUCUAUCCAGCUUAGCAGUCUACUCUAUCCUAUGAUCAGGGUGAACCUCUAACUCAAAAUAUGCCCUAAUUGGUGCCCUACGAACAGUUGCACAAACCAUUUCCUGUGAAGUCACCCUAACCAUUAUCCUCCUAUCUGUGAUUAUUCUAAGUGGCAACUACACCCUAAACACUCUUGCUACAACCCAAGAACCCCUCUAUCUCAUUUUCUCUUCCUGACCCCUAGUAAUGAUGUGCUACAUCUCCUCACUUGCUGAAACAAACCAUGCCCCAUUCGACCUAACAGAGGGAGAGUCUGAACUAGUCUCAGGGUUUAAUGUAGAGUAUGCUGCAGGACCAUUUACCUUAUUCUUCCUGGCUGAAUAUGGUAAUAUCAUACUAAUGAACACAUUCACGACCAUCCUAUUUCUAAACCCCAGCUCACUUAGUCUCCUCCAGGAACUCUUCCCUUUAACUCUAGCUACAAAAACCCUCCUCGUCUCCUCAGGCUUCCUAUGAAUCUGCGCCUCCUAUCCUCGAUUCCGUUAUGAUCAACUUAUAUAUUUACUUUGAAAAAACUUCUUACCCCUAACGCUAGCCUUAUGCCUAUGACAUACUAACUUCCCUCUCUCCUAUGAAGGCUUACCCCCCUACCUAAGUUGGGGGGUUUUGGGG